UACCGUCUGUGUUAAUUGACCUGCAGAGCUUUUUAUCUUCUGAACAUUUUCAUUGCAAAUACAAUAACCAUAUAACAGUUUGAAGACUGGAGAUAAAUUAGACUGGAGAGAAGCCUAUCAGUCUGUCUGGAUCAUCUGAGGCUCUGCUCUCCUUUGUCACUCGUUUUUAUCGUCUUAACUGCCAUCAAGGCACAUUCAUUACAACUCAUAAGUAAAUGUUUCAUUAGUGGGUUUAUUCAAAUGAAAAGUUAACUGGAAAUUACGGUUCUGAUGAGAAGAUAAUUGUAAAGAACAGUAUUUAACGCCCGUCUCUCUCAGCUCUCACUACACCUGAUCAUCAACACAGGAUACUGGACAAUUAGAGCACAAAGUUUAAUAUCACUGUAGAAGAACAGACCAUUCAUUUAGAGUUAAAGAGCCUAUAAAAGAUGAAGAACUUUGGGGUGAAGUUGGUUCUGGUCACUGUGCUUCUCCAGCUGUGCCUCUCUAUGUAUGAGGUCAGCGCCCAAGACCCAGCUGAAGGAGAAGAUGGAGGAGCAGCUGAACAAGCAGCUCCUAAAAAAGAGAAAGAAUCCAAAGUUAAAUCAUUCUUCAAAGCUGUGGGACAGAAGUUGAAAAAUCUUAAAGAUAAAAUAAAGGGUUGAACAUCAGCAUCACCUUCUUCUUUUCCUUUCAAUCUUGUAAUUGUGAAGAUCAUCUUAAUAAACCUGAAUGUAGCAAAUGCA